UACGAAGGGGGCUAGCGUUGCUCGGAAUUACUGGGCGUAAAGGGCGCGUAGGCGGACAGUUAAGUUGGGGGUGAAAGCCCGGGGCUCAACCUCGGAAAUGCCUUCAAUACUGGCUGUCUUGAGUACGGGAGAGGUGAGUGGAACUCCGAGUGUAGAGGUGAAAUUCGUAGAUAUUCGGAAGAACACCAGUGGCGAAGGCGACUCACUGGCCCGUUACUGACGCUGAGGCGCGAAAGCGUGGGGAGCAAACAGGAUUAGAUACCCCCGUAGUCC
rnacentral:rRNA from 1 species